rnacentral:piRNA from 1 species
GAUGUUUGCAUUAUGCUCCUG